rnacentral:rRNA from 1 species
CCUACGGGGGGCAGCAGUGAGGAAUAUUGGUCAAUGGGCGAGAGCCUGAACCAGCCAAGUCGCGUGAAGGAUGACGGCCCUACGGGUUGUAAACUUCUUUUGUCAGGGAGUAAUUGUGUCCACGCGUGGGCUUAGCGAGAGUACCUGCAGAAAAAGCAUCGGCUAAAUCCGUGCCAGCAGCCGCGGUAAUACGGAGGAUGCGAGCGUUAUCCGGAUUUAUUGGGUUUAAGGGGUGCGUAGGCGGUCGGAUAAGUUAGAGGUGAAAUCCCGGGGCUCAACUUCGGAAUUGCCUCUGAUACUGUUCGGCUAGAGAGUAGGUGCGGUAGGCGGAAUGUAUGGUGUAGCGGUGGAAUGCUUAGAGAUCAUACAGAACACCGAUUGCGAAGGCAACUUACCAAGCUACUUCUGACGUUGAGGCACGAAAGCGUGGGGAGCAAACAGGAUUAGAUACCCUGGUUGUC